CAGAGUUUCACUAGGAAGGUAAAGGUAAAAGUUCCCCUCGCACAUAUGUGCUAGUCGUUCCCGACUGUAGGGAGCAGUGCUCAACUCUGUUUCAAAUCUGAAGAGCCAGUGCUAUCCAAAGAUGUCUCCGUGGUCAUGUGGCUGGCAUGACUAAAUGCCAAAGGUGCAAGGAAUGCUGUUACCUUUCCAUCAAAGAUAACAGAAUAACAGAGUUGGAAGGGACCUUAUAGGUCAUCUGCUCAAGUAGGAGACCCUACACCAUUUCUGGCAAAUGGAAGUCCAACCUUUUCUUGAAAGUCUCAAGUAAUGAAGAAACUCCCACAACUCCCGAAGACAAGCUGUUCCUUUGGUUGAUUGUUCUCAUUGUUUUAAUUUUUAUUUAAAUCAAAUACCAAGUUUUGCCAAGGUUGAUCAUUUUAAAAUGGAGAGAAAAUUGGCUGAGGGAGGGAGGGAGAGAGGAAAGAAGUUAAAAAUUUAGGCCAUCCUCCUGCAA